UACAGAGGUCUCGAGCGUUGUUCGGAUUCAUUGGGCGUAAAGGGUGCGUAGGUGGCGUGGUAAGUCUGGUGUGAAAUCCCGGGGCUCAACCCCGGAACUGCACUGGAUACUGCCAUGCUUGAGUACUGGAGAGGAGAUUGGAAUUUACGGUGUAGCAGUGAAAUGCGUAGAUAUCGUAAGGAAGACCAGUGGCGAAGGCGAAUCUCUGGACAGUUCCUGACACUGAGGCACGAAGGCCAGGGAGCAAACGGG
rnacentral:rRNA from 1 species